GCGCCCGUAGCUCAGCCGGAUAGAGCGUUGGCCUCCGGAGCCAAAGGUAAGAGGUUCGAGUCCUCUCGGGCGCGCCA
rnacentral:tRNA from 1 species